rnacentral:rRNA from 1 species
AUUGAACGCUGGCGGCAUGCCUUACACAUGCAAGUCGAACGGCAGCACGGGGGCAACCCUGGUGGCGAGUGGCGAACGGGUGAGUAAUGCAUCGGAACGUGCCCAGUAGUGGGGGAUAACCAGUCGAAAGACUGGCUAAUACCGCAUACGACCAAGGGUGAAAGCGGGGGACCGUAAGGCCUCGCGCUAUUGGAGCGGCCGAUGUCUGAUUAGCUAGUUGGCGGGGUAAGAGCCCACCAAGGCGACGAUCAGUAGCUGGUCUGAGAGGACGACCAGCCACACUGGGACUGAGACACGGCCCAGACUCCUACGGGAGGCAGCAGUGGGGAAUUUUGGACAAUGGGCGCAAGCCUGAUCCAGCCAUGCCGCGUGCGGGAAGAAGGCCUUCGGGUUGUAAACCGCUUUUGGCAGGAACGAAACGGCGCAGGCCAAUACCUUGCGCUAAUGACGGUACCUGCAGAAUAAGCACCGGCUAACUACGUGCCAGCCGCCGCCGUAACAC